rnacentral:rRNA from 1 species
CUUGCUAAGUUUGAUGGCGACCGGCGCACGGGUGAGUAACACGUAUCCAACCUGCCGAUGACUCGGGGAUAGCCUUUCGAAAGAAAGAUUAAUACCCGAUGGCAUAGUUCUUCCGCAUGGUGGAACUAUUAAAGAAUUUCGGUCAUCGAUGGGAUGCGUUCCAUUAGGUUGUUCGGCGGGGUAACGGCCCACCAAGCCUUCGAUGGAUAGGGGUUCUGAGAGGAAGGUCCCCCACAUUGGAACUGAAACACGGUCCAAACUCCUACGGGAGGCAGCAUG